AUUGAACGCUGGCGGCAUGCCUUACACAUGCAAGUCGAACGGUAGCACGGGUGCUUGCACCUGGUGGCGAGUGGCGAACGGGUGAGUAAUACAUCGGAACAUGUCCUGUAGUGGGGGAUAGCCCGGCGAAAGCCGGAUUAAUACCGCAUACGAUCUACGGAUGAAAGCGGGGGACCUUCGGGCCUCGCGCUAUAGGGUUGGCCGAUGGCUGAUUAGCUAGUUGGUGGGGUAAAGGCCUACCAAGGCGACGAUCAGUAGCUGGUCUGAGAGGACGACCAGCCACACUGGGACUGAGACACGGCCCAGACUCCUACGGGAGGCAGCAGUGGGGAAUUUUGGACAAAGGGCGAAAGCCUGAUCCAGCAAUGCCGCGUGUGUGAAGAAGGCCUUCGGGUUGUAAAGCACUUUUGUCCGGAAAGAAAUCCUUGGCCCUAAUACGGUCGGGGGAUGACGGUACCGGAAGAAUAAGCACCGGCUAACUACGUG
rnacentral:rRNA from 1 species